CUGCAACUGCUCCUUUAUCUGCACAUACCAGCCCUUCCUCUGGCUUUUCGCUCCAGCAUUGAGGUCCAGAGCAGCUUCCUGUAAUAUUUUCUGAGCCACUUGUAUCUUAACUUCUGCCUCAAGCAAUCUCUGCCUCUGGGUUUCCUGUUCUCAGGAGCCAGGAUCUCCAGCACCAGUUUAUCCAAUGUUCCGGACUAAUUGAGAGUGGAUUUCCAAGAAGAAAAAGGAAGAACAUGUUCACAACCACAGACACCUCCUCACCUGUUUACGAAAGACAGCACAGGUUCUGCAGGACAGAAAAAAUACUGG